GGGGCCGCCCCCCCCCCACAGCGUCACGGAUUGCCUCGCUCCCCGGUCGACAGAAACGUUAACUUUAACAAUCCCAGCAGCCCCCUUUCUUUAUGCUCAUUGGUCGGGCUGGGAGGAGGAGGAGCCAGCCAGCUGUCGCCCAACGCCAAGGAGUUUGUCUACCCAGAAUCCUCCACUUCCUCGUCCUCCUCCUCCGCAGACGGCGCCCUCUUCAGCUUCGGAGGGGAAGUGCAAUUUCAACAACCCCAGACCAGUUUCUACCCUUUUAACAGUGCUGAGGUGUCCAGAGGAUUCUUUCUGGAGAAGACCCCCUUUGUCGACGGGAUGGGGUACAGCUUGAGCCCCCACGCUGCGCCCCUGUACCCCAGCCAGCCCUUCCAGCAACCUGUCGUCUUGGCGAAUUAAUUCGUUAAUUUUUUUUUAAAAAAUACAUUAUUUUUUUGUUAUAAUACAGCAGUGUGAUCCAGUCCUGGUUUCACUAGGAGUUUAAUAAUAAGACACACCUGAGCUUGUUAGCUAGACACGCUGGGGGCUGAUCAAGCUGGUAGCAGUAAAACCUGGACUGGAUCACACUGCUGUGCGAUAGGAGUCUGAUUCCCAGCCCUGAUCUCUCUGUCUAAAUAUCCCACAGUUCCCAGCAAUAUCCUGUAGCUCUCUUCACUAUAAAAUCAGCUACAAACCUCCUUCAACCAAAGUCUAUCUACAGGGCUGGGAAUCAGACUCCCGCUGCACAGCAGUGUGAUCCAGUCCUGGUUUCACUAGGAGUUUAAUAAUCAGACACACCUGAGCUUGUUACCUGUGAAGGCACUAGAGCCCCAAACUAGAGCUGGUCUGCUGGACUCAGUUUAGUUUCAAUCACGCUGAUGAAGGCACUAGAGCCCCAAACUAGAGCUGGUCUGCUGGACUCAGUUUAGUUUCAAUCACGCUGAUGAAGGCACUAGAGCCCCAAACUAGAGCUGGUCUGCUGGACUCAGUUUAGUUUCAAUCACGCUGAUGAAGGCACUAGAGCCCCACACUAGAGCUGGUCUGCUGGACUCAGUUUAGUUUCAAUCACGCUGAUGAAGGCACGAGAGCCCCAAACUAGAGCUGGUCUGCUGGACUCAGUUUAGUUUCAAUCACGCUGAUGAAGGCACUAGAGCCCCAAACUAGAGCUGGUCUGCUGGACUCAGUUUAGUUUCAAUCACGCUGAUGAAGGCACUAGAGCCCCAAACUAGAGCUGGUCUGCUGGACUCAGUUUAGUUUCAAUCACGCUGAUGAAGGCACUAGAGCCCCAAACUAGAGCUGGUCUGCUGGGCUCAGUUUUUCUUCUUAUUGUUAUUAAUGAUUAUUAUUUACUUUAAGAACAUUUUGCUUUUUUUGAGAUUUUGAUUUUCAUAAGGAACAAAAGUUAUAUUUUCUAAGAAUAUAUAGAAAUAUAUAAAAAAAUUAAAUUAUGUGUAAUUAUAAUAUAUAUAUAUAUAUUAUAUAGAGAGUAGUUAAACACUCGUACCCUUUGUUUGCCUUUAAGAGUAAUUAAAGUAUUAAACAAAUCCAUUCAUCGCUAUUUGAUUGGCGCUCGAUUGUAAAGGUGAGGGAAGGACGGCUUUUUAAAAGUUAAUCGCUGUCUCUUGGUACUCGAUUGUAAAGGUGAGGGAAGGACGGCUUUUCUUUUCUUGUUUUUAAGUUAAUCCCCGUCGCUUGGUACUCGAUUGUAAAGGUGAGGGAAGGACGACUUUUCUUUUCUUGUUUUGAAGUUAAUCCCCGUCUCUUGGCGCUCGAUUGUAAAGGUGAGGGAAGGACGGCUUUUCUUUUCUUGUUUUGAAGUUAAUCCCCGUCGUUUGGUACUCGAUUGUAAAGGUGAGGGAAGGACGGCUUUUCUUUUCUUGUUUUGAAGUUAAUCGCCGUCGCUUGGCAGUCGAUUGUAAAGGUGAGGGAAGGACGGCUUUUCUUUUCUUGUUUUGAAGUUAAUCCCCGUCGCUUGGUGCUCGAUUGUAAAGGUGAGGGAAGGACGGCUUUUCUUUUCUUGUUUUGAAGUUAAUCCCCGUCGCUUGGCAGUCGAUUGUAAAGGUGAGGGAAGGACGGCUUUUCUUUUCUUGUUUUUGAAGUUAAUCCCCGUCGCUUGGUACUCGAUUGUAAAGGUGAGGGAAGGACGGCUUUUCUUUUCUUGUUUUGAAGUUAAUCCCCGUCUCUUGGUACUCGAUUGUAAAGGUGAGGGAAGGACGGCUUUUCUUUUCUUGUUUUGAAGUUAAUCCCCGUCUCUUGGUACUCGAUUGUAAAGGUGAGGGAAGGACGGCUUUUCUUUUCUUGUUUUGAAGUUAAUCCCCGUCUCUUGGCGCUCGGUUGUAAAGGUGAGGGAAGGACGGCUUUUCUUUUCUUGUUUUGAAGUUAAUCCCCGUCUCUUGGUACUCGAUUGUAAAGGUGAGGGAAGGACGGCUUUUCUUUUCUUGUUUUGAAGUUAAUCCCCGUCUCUUGGCGCUCGGUUGUAAAGGUGAGGGAAGGACGGCUUUUCUUUUCUUGUUUUGAAGUUAAUCCCCGUCGCUUGGCGCUCGAUUGUAAAGGUGAGGGAAGGACGGCUUUUCUUUUCUUGUUUUGAAGUUAAUCUCCGUCGCUUGGUACUCGGUUGUAAAGGUGAGGGAAGGACGACUUUUCUUUUCUUGUUUUGAAGUUAAUCCCCGUCGCUUGGUACUCGAUUGUAAAGGUGAGGGAAGGACGGCUUUUCUUUUCUUGUUUUGAAGUUAAUCCCCGUCGUUUGGUGCUCGAUUGUAAAGGUGAGGGAAGGACGGCUUUUCUUUUCUUGUUUUGAAGUUAAUCCCCGUCGCUUGGCACUCGAUUGUAAAGGUGAGGGAAGGACGACUUUUCUUGUUUUUGAAAUGAACUUGUUAAUUAAUUAAUAUAUAGUUCUUAAAGGCAAUUGCAAGUAUUUGGCACAGCCCUCGUGUGUGCGUGCGUGCGUGUGCGUGUCUGCGUGUGUGUGUGUGCGUGUCUGCGUGUGUGUGUGUGUGUAUAUAUAUGCAACGAUAUGGAAGAUUACAGUGUAAGUGAACUGUGUAUGAAUCUAAGAACAAAAUCUAACUGAUCUAUUUAUUAAAUAAUAUAAUUUAAUAUACUCCAAGAAGGAGGAAAGUCUGUGGGAGAGAAUUUUAUUUAAUUUUUUUUAAAUUUCGAUGCAGUACAAUAUAUAUCUAUAUAUAUAUAUAUACUGAAAGAAUUAAAAACAGAUUUGAGAAAAGAAAAAAAAAAUGAAGGAAAACAAUUAUUAUUAUUAUUAUUAUUAUUAUUAUUAUUAUUAUUAUUAUUAUUAUUAUUAUUAUUAUUAUUAUUAUUAUUAAUGGGGGGUAAAGAGAAAACAAAAAUGAAGUUAUGCAAAAAUGUAAAAAACGAAAAAUGAUUCCAAAUCUUCCGAGCUGGGAACAGCUACACAAACAUGAGUCUGUUACUGACGUGCAAAUCUCUCCUUUCUAUUUUGUCUUUGACCGUUUUUUUAAGUUUGUAUUAAAAGAAGUAAAAAUAAAAAGCAUGACAUACAUUUAAA